UUCACAACAUAUAUAAGAUCCAAAUUGCUUCGUCAUCAUCUGCGACUUAUUCCAUUUCGUUUUCGUACAGUCUUAUUUUCCCAGUCACUUCGGUUGAAGUAUUUCAUAGCUCCGUACAAUGGACCUAUGCAGAU